GACGAACGCUGGCGGCGUGCUUAACACAUGCAAGUCGAACGGAAAGGCCCUGCUUUUGUGGGGUGCUCGAGUGGCGAACGGGUGAGUAACACGUGAGUAACCUGCCCUUGACUUUGGGAUAACUUCAGGAAACUGGGGCUAAUACCGGAUAGGAGCUCCUGCUGCAUGGUGGGGGUUGGAAAGUUUCGGCGGUUGGGGAUGGACUCGCGGCUUAUCAGCUUGUUGGUGGGGUAGUGGCUUACCAAGGCUUUGACGGGUAGCCGGCCUGAGAGGGUGACCGGCCACACUGGGACUGAGAUACGGCACAGACUCCUACGGGAGGCAGCGGUGGGGAAUAUUGCACAAGGGGCGGAAGCCUGAUGCAGCAACGCCGCGUGCGGGAUGACGGCCUUCGGGUUGUAAACCGCUUUCGCCUGGGACGAAGCGUGAGUGACGGUAAUGGGUAAAGAAGCACCGGCUAACUACGUG
rnacentral:rRNA from 1 species